UCUCAGCUCCUACAGUCCCACUUUCCUAUCUAGUAACAGAGUUAGGUCCAAUUAUUUCUGGGUCUCUCAACAUUCCAGAUGGGCUGGUUCUAGCUGCUCUCAGAGUUUUCCCGCUGUGUUGGUGUGACCGACCCAGGACAGACAUCGCUGCUCUUCCACUCCUGGCCCCUCCAGUGUGUGCUGAUGGCUGAGGAAGGGACUCUGGAGAUGCCAGCUCCCCAGCCAUCAAGCCCAGGAGGCCCCAUUCCAUGAAGCCCCCAGGGCCGGCAGCAAAGCCCGGGGCUGGCAAGGGGAGCAGGUGUGUUUGCAGACUGGGUGGAGGCCGGCUUCCUACGGGGCUCCUCUCCUCUCCCUCCACUCUCUCUCGUCUUGAAAGACCAUCCCACAAUCCAACUGCAGGACACACUCGCGCUCAGGAGCUCAACUGAGUUGCUACAAACGUGAAAAACUGGAAACAACCUGAACACCUACCCACAGAGGACGGCUGAGUAAAUGAUGUGCAUCCACAUGUGUUACAUUUUGGAGUCAUUAAAAAACACGUUUAUGAAAUGUUAAUGGCCUGGAAAAAUGCUCAUCACAAAACGUUAGGGCAAAAAACAGUUUCUACUUUCUGGUUUUCAAACUAGGAAUAUAAGUUAACCAUUCAGAAUUAAAUUUGAAAAGCAAUAAAAAAUAAAAAUGUGAGGUUGUUUUAUAACAAUCGUACAUGUAUGUCUGCAUAUGUAGACCUGUGUGUGUGUGUGUGUGUGUGUGUGUGUGUGCAUGUGAAUGAAAGGAAAUAUACCAAAAUGCUAACAGAUGUUAUUUCCAGGAGGGAGAAUUUUGGAUAAUCGUUAUUUUAUUUAUAUUUUUCUGUAUUUACACAUUUUUAUAGUAAGCAUGGAUUAAUUUUUUAUUCUGAAAAUAGAAAAAAAAUACAUGAACAAAAACAUGGUGAUUUGCGCCGCUUCAGAUGGGACCAUGAGUCCAUGCCUUGAGCUCUGUGUUGGGUGCUGAUAUCUUUGGCUUAAGGCAGCUUCUCGUUGGGUGAGCACAGACAUUCUGAGAUGCCGGCUUCUGGGUGUUCUGAUACCUGGAGAUGCCUCUGAGCCAACUGGGGCUCAUGCAAAUUGUUCCAUCUGCCCAAAGUGGCACUGGCAUGCCCCGUACCACCACCAGGAGCAGGGCCUCAUGGGAGGCAUUUAGGUCAUGAGGGCUCCACCUUUAUGAAUGGAUUCAUGACAUUAUGAAAGGGCUGGAGGGAGUUUGGUCCUCUUUGUCCUUUCACCCUCCAGAGAUGAAUGGAUUCAUGACAUUAUGAAAGGGCUGGAGUGAGUUUGGUCCUCCUUGCCCUUUCACCCUCCAGAGAAGGCAGCGUUCCAGGUACCAUCUUGGAAGCAGAGAGCAGUUCUCACCAGACACUGAACUGCAGCCCUCUGGCCUUGGACUUCCCUGCCUCCAGAAUGGUUCUGAGGCUGAGGAUGAAGAUGAGGGCCCUGCCCAGAGCUGGGAGAGGUGGAGCUGCACGAAGAUGCCACAUGGUGAAGCAAAACCUUAACAUCCCAUCGCCUCAUCUUUCAGGGGCUUCUGUUCCGGGAAGUGGCUCCCAAGAAAUUACUGGUGGAUUGUUGGUGCUCUGAGGGUGAAGAGGUGAAGGAGGAAGAUAAAAAGGAGCAGCCGCAGCUUUCCGGUGUAGCCCCCUCUGCUCUGCCCCGUUGCCCAGACACCCGGCGUUGGGCAUCAAUGGAGCACAAGUACUGUUCUCUAGGCACAUCCGUUCUGGGACCAUUCUCACAUCCUGAGGAUAAAUUUCUACAACACUCAUGCUGUGCUCUCCCUGAAAAUUUUGCCUCUGUUUUGAGCCAUUAUAAUGAUUCAAGUAGAGACUUCAGAGAAAUACCGCCUCUCAUGAAAAAGUCUCAGUAAAUACACUCCUCAAAAUUUUCAUUCUUAAUAUAUCAGUAGCUUUUCAGUUCAUUAUAGUGUUAUUAGUCAGUCUUCAUAAAAGUGCUAUGCAUCUUUAUUAAAAAUGGAAGUUCACAUCAUUUUAUGUUCCCAUAAAAAUGGGUGGUGGUAGCUUUGAUUAAUUUCUUCACAUACAGUGAACUUUACAGCAAAUUGGACAGUGUAAUUCAAUUCCUAUUUCUGCAGAUUUUUUUGUUGGUAGAAAAUUGAUAUCAUUCAUAUGUAAUCAUAUUGCCUUUGCAAGAGAUAUUUAAGAAAUAAUAUCCUGAGGUAAUGAU